rnacentral:rRNA from 1 species
AACGAACGCUGGCGGCAUGCCUAACACAUGCAAGUCGAACGAGACCUUCGGGUCUAGUGGCGCACGGGUGCGUAACGCGUGGGAAUCUGCCCUUGGGUUCGGAAUAACUCGCCGAAAGGCGUGCUAAUACCGGAUGAUGACGUAAGUCCAAAGAUUUAUCGCCCAAGGAUGAGCCCGCGUUGGAUUAGCUAGUUGGUGAGGUAAAGGCUCACCAAGGCGACGAUCCAUAGCUGGUCUGAGAGGAUGAUCAGCCACACUGGGACUGAGACACGGCCCAGACUCCUACGGGAGGCAGCAGUGGGGAAUAUUGGACAAUGGGCGAAGGCCUGAUCCAGCAAUGCCGCGUGAGUGAUGAAGGCCUUAGGGUUGUAAAGCUCUUUUACCCGGGAUGAUAAUGACCGUACCGGGAGAAUAAGCUCCGGCUAACUCCGUG